rnacentral:rRNA from 1 species
GAACGCUGGCGGCAGGCUUAACACAUGCAAGUCGAACGGGAAGCAAGGCUUCGGCCUUGUGGAGAGUGGCGCACGGGUGAGUAACGCGUGGGUAUCUGCCUCGAAGUGGGGGACAACCGCUGGAAACGGCGGCUAAUACCGCAUACGCCCUUAGGGGGAAAGCUUUAUGCGCUUCGAGAUGAACCCGCGUUGGAUUAGCUAGUUGGUGUGGUAACGGCGCACCAAGGCAUCGAUCCAUAGCUGGUCUGAGAGGAUGAUCAGCCACA